rnacentral:rRNA from 1 species
CGCGUAGGCGGGAUAACAAGUCAGGUGUGAAAUCCGGGGCUCAACCCUCGAACUGCACUUGAAACUGUUAUUCUUGAGUGAUGGAGAGGCAAGUGGAAUUCCUAGUGUAGCGGUGAAAUGCGUAGAUAUUAGGAGGAACACCAGUGGCGAAGGCGACUUGCUGGACAUUAACUGACGCUGAGGCGCGAAAGCGUGGGGAGCAAACAG